GACAUAUGUAUGUACAUAUGUAUGUAUGUACAUAUGUAUGUAUGUACAUGGACAUACAUAUGUACAUACAUACAUAUGUACAUACAUACAAAUGUACAUACAUACAUA
rnacentral:miRNA from 1 species